rnacentral:tRNA from 1 species
GCGGAAGUAGCUCAAUGGCAGAGCAUCAGCUUCCCAAGCUGAGGGUUGCGGGUUCGAGUCCCGUUUUCCGCU